rnacentral:lncRNA from 1 species
UCGAGGUACAAAUUUCGAUCAUGUCUAUGCAAUGACGUUCUCCAUAUUCGAUUCUGUUCCAUUUGCAGAUAGAAGCAAACCUGAAAACAGCUAUCUAUUGAUUUCAGAUUUUUAGAGAAAUCAUAUGAACAAAUGCCCUAUUGCUUUUAUCUAUUGACUUUCACACAUUCGUUCAUUAUUCUUUCCGCCAUGAUUCUCAUUUUCCACACAUAUGCUCCAUGUCAUAUCUCAUUUAUGCUCAGUGUGAAAUCAACUAACGCUUACACUGUUGAUCUCGAAAUAACAUGUCUUAAAUGAAGUGUGCAGUUUGAGUCGCACUGCCCUUAUGCAAAUCAACUGUUUAUCUGUGAUGACAGUCUUUGUUUAACUGAGUUAGGAUCACCUGAUGAACCAACACGAUUCAAAGUCAUUGACAACGAGACACAUCGUCUGUGUGGUUGACAUGGACGCCUGGGUUCGAUGGCGGCUACCCCCAGGAGUUUGUAAUGGAAUACCGAAAAUUUGGCUCUUCCACAUGGAAUGUAUUUGGUUACUUCGGAGAUACUGGUAACAUGUUUGUGUUGGAAGUGAACAGUUUGGCACCUGGAGAGACAUACACCUUCCGGCUGCAUGCUCGGAAUGCAAAGUACGAGGCAUCAACCACAGCAUUUGUCUUCCUGGAAGCAAGGACCCAUCUCAGGUACCUGAUAUGUUUAUGCUUCAGAACAUGCAUGUUCAUACACAUUCAACACAAUUUGUGACAACAACUUUUCAGGCCACUGAUUUCCACGUGUACAUGUAUGUGAGAAAACACAGUAAGACAAAUGCAUCUUUAGUGGCUACCCUCGCAAUGUUAAUUUCUGUACCAUUGUAUUGGUUACUUAAUGUUAUGUUCCAGUUCUCUUGUGUUCUGAGUGCUCACACGCAUGGUUUUUUGUUUAUAGCUGAAUCUGUGAUCGGAACUGCUCUUCUCAUCCUACUGGUUGAAGGGCUACUAUAUGCCUGUUUUCUCAGACAAGAAUAUAGAUAUGUAUGUAUGGAAAGGUACAAUUCAUCAUCACACUGGCACAUAUGCGACAAAUGUAUUUAUCAUAUAAAUGAAUCAUUGUUAAUUGAUAAUUUCAUCGUGCUGUUGAGAGACUGACAAUUAAAUAUUAUGGAGGGAUAGUGUGAAGUUUUGAAAUGCACUAUGUUUGGCGGAAAAUACACCUGUUUUGUUAAACUGAAUUAACCAAGAACAAACAUGAAUAUAUGCCUUUCCAUUAUUUCACAAAAUCGUCUCCGGGAGAAAGGUGAUGUUUAAAAUGUAUCAGUCUCUUUGCUUAGUUUAAUACACGUACAUAACUUAUUCAACGUAUUCAAACUGAAGGUUUUUAGACACAUUCGCACAACACCCAACUGUGAAUGAAUAUGAGCUCAAAGUGUUACUUCCUUCUAGUGAUGGAGCCCAAUAAAUGAAGUAGACAAUGUUGGAUACUCAUCUGUAGGUAAGUAUUUUAAGUGAAUAGAACUUUCACUAGGAUUUUGACCUGGGUGUGAUAUGGAUUCAUGUAUAACGUACAUUGGUACUGAACGUCUUUGGCGAGGAUAAAGACCCUUUAUUUGUAUAUUCCGGGAGCAUACCAUAUUGGUUUAUGCAUCGAUAACAAACACGAUAAUGCAUGAUCAUCAAGUAAUUGUUUACUAUUGUUCUUUUGCAUCAAAAUCGGACCGAUGAACUGCAAUCUAACUCGAAAACUAAUAAACAUAUAAUGCUCAAUAAAACGGUGAUCAUAAUCAAAACAUCAGACCAACUCUGUGAGUUUUUUUGCAGAAUUUAUGUCCUAAAAAUAAGAAAAGCUGUUUAACAAAUCAUCAUUAAAGUAUUUACACGUCCACUUUUUGUUACGAGGGAGGAGUGCAAAUAGAGGAACAGCCAGGUGUGGGACAAAGGAUGGAGAAGGCACAGCUCCGUAGUAAUUCAGCUGUAUGAUCCCGGCCGAUGAAUAGUCGACUAAAGGACAGACAAACCAGACUGGCUACAGAUCAAGAUGACCCAGUGACCAAGCCGGACUGUCAAUCUACCGUGCAGACUGACAUACGUUUCCAAAGCAUUAGGUCAACUGCAGCAAAAUAUUAGUGAACGUAGUGAAUGUGAGUGUACUAGGGAUGGGUGAUCGCAGAAUCCUUGUACUUGAGGGGGACAUUACACCACCUGUCGAUAAGACCGACUCUACCUGAACGCUAUCUAGGCUAUCUAGGAUCUACAGGGAUCUAUGUUACUGCACUCCACUAUCCAUGACAGCCAGUUACCGAGUGGACAACGAAAGAUCGAUGCCCUGUGGUCUAAAUGUAAUGUUCACUCACAUUGUAGUGUCGACUGAUAGUCGACGGAUGACAAGCUCGUUUGAAGGAUGAAUAAGAAGAUUUGUGACAGUGGGACUAAGAUCUGUUGUAAUUCAACGUGUUGCUGUCGCUAGGUUACAGAGCCAGUGUGAUAGUAAUGUGAGUUGCUGUAUGUGCAGACAUUCGAUUAUGUAUAUUGCUCUGAAG